rnacentral:misc_RNA from 1 species
UACGAAGGGGGCUAGCGUUGUUCGGAUUUACUGGGCGUAAAGCGCGUGUAGGCGGGCUUGUAAGUUGGGGGUGAAAUCCCGAGGCUCAACCUCGGAACUGCCUCCAAAACUACAAGCCUGGACCUAAAGAGAGGCGAGUGGAAUUGCGAGUGUAGAGGUGAAAUUCGUAGAUAUUCGCAGGAACACCAGUGGCGAAGGCGACUCUCUGGUCUGUAACUGACGCUGAGGCGCGAAAGCGUGGGGAGCAAACAGG